UGAGGGGAAUGUUGUCUGGCUCGAUGUCAUUCAUGUGAAGCUCAACGUUAACUGAUGAAUGAUUUCGGACCAGGCUUCAUUCCCCCCAAC
rnacentral:pre_miRNA from 1 species